rnacentral:rRNA from 1 species
CCUACGGGAGGCAGCAGUAAGGAAUAUUGGACAAUGGAGGCAACUCUGAUCCAGCCAUGCCGCGUGCAGGAAGAAGGUCCUAUGGAUUGUAAACUGCUUUUGUACGGGAGAAAACCCUUCUACGUGUAGGAGGCUGAUAGUACCGUAAGAAUAAGCAUCGGCUAACUUCGUGCCAGCAGCCGCGGUAAGACGAAGGAUGCAAGCGUUAUCCGGAUUCAUUGGGUUUAAAGGGUGCGUAGGCGGACGCAUAAGUCAGUGGUGAAAUCUCCAGGCUUAACUUGGAAACUGCCAUUGAUACUGUGUGUCUUGAGUACAGAUGAUGUUGGCGGAAUAUGACAUGUAGCGGUGAAAUGCAUAGAUAUGUCAUAGAACACCGAUUGCGAAGGCAGCUGACAAAACUGUAACUGACGCUGAGGCACGAAAGUGCGGGGAUCAAACAGGAUUAGAUACCCUAGUAGUC